GACGAACGCUGGCGGCGUGCUUAACACAUGCAAGUCGAACGGAAAGGCCCUGCUUUUGUGGGGUGCUCGAGUGGCGAACGGGUGAGUAACACGUGAGUAACCUGCCCUUGACUUUGGGAUAACUUCAGGAAACUGGGGCUAAUACCGGAUAGGAGCUCCUGCUGCAUGGUGGGGGUUGGAAAGUUUCGGCGGUUGGGGAUGGAUUCGCGGCUUAUCAGCUUGUUGGUGGGGUAGUGGCUUACCAAGGCUUUGACGGGUAGCCGGCCUGGGAGGGUGACCGGCCACAUUGGGACUGAGAUACGGCCCAGUAUCCUACGGGAGGAAGCAGUGGGGAAUAUUGCACAAGGGGCGGAAGCCUGAUGCAGCAACGCCGCGUGCGGGAUGACGGCCUUCGGGUUGUAAACCGCUUUCGCCUGUGACGAAGCGUGAGUGACGGUAAUGGGUAAAGAAGCACCGGCUAACUACGUG
rnacentral:rRNA from 1 species